UAAAAAGUAAUGACAGGAAGUAGUAAUAAUACAUCUUUCUUUAGAGAGUCGAUGGUUGGUGAAAAUCGAUGUAAGGGUAUUGUGAAUCCAUCCUUGAACUGGUCUAUGGAACCCGGCAUGUCCGUAAGUAAGUAGACCCGGCUAUGUACCGUUAAUAACUGUGAGCCGGAAGAGUUUUUCUCUUCAACAAGGGUGGCAACGCGGGAAUUAUACUCUCGUCCCUAUU
rnacentral:ncRNA from 1 species